GAUGAACGCUGGCGGCGUGCCUAAUACAUGCAAGUCGAGCGAACGGACGAGGAGCUUGCUCCUUUGACGUUAGCGGCGGACGGGUGAGUAACACGUGGAUAACCUACCUAUAAGACUGGGAUAACUUCGGGAAACCGGAGCUAAUACCGGAUAAUAUAUUGAACCGCAUGGUUCAAUAGUGAAAGACGGUUUUGCUGUCACUUAUAGAUGGAUCCGCGCCGCAUUAGCUAGUUGGUAAGGUAACGGCUUACCAAGGCAACGAUGCGUAGCCGACCUGAGAGGGUGAUCGGCCACACUGGAACUGGGACACGGUCCAGACUCCUACGGGAGGCAGCAGUAGGGAAUCUUCCGCAAUGGGCGAAAGCCUGACGGAGCAACGCCGCGUGAGUGAUGAAGGUCUUCGGAUCGUAAAACUCUGUUAUUAGGGAAGAACAAAUGUGUAAGUAACUAUGCACGUCUUGACGGUACCUAAUCAGAAAGCCACGGCUAACUACGUG
rnacentral:rRNA from 1 species